UGGGGAUGCCGGGAAUUGGAGUCUGCACCCCAAAACCGGCUGUGACACCCCAGGAGUGGCGUCCCUGUGACCUCACAGGAGCAGCAUCCCAUUUCCAGGAGGUUUGAAUUAUUCAGACCAAAAUCACGAAUUCAUCAGCAAGGCUGGAGCAGCUCUUUUCUCUCAGCCCCAGGAGCUGCUCCAAACAGCCCAAACUGGAGAAAGUUGCAGGAUUUGGAGUAGAAAUCAGGAAUACAAACCAGGGUCCCAUGGGGUAGGAAGAGAACUCCUUGUUCCUGGUGGAUCUGGAGGAUUUGGAGUAGAACCCAGGAAUACAAACCAGGAUCCCACGGGUUGGAGAGGACACCUCGCUCCUGGUGGAUCUGCCCCCACCCUGCACCCCAGGAGCUCCAAACCCUCCAAAUCCUCAGGGAUUUCAGGAUCCCUCCACCAUUCCCUGCUCCCAGCUGAUCCCAGGAUUCCCAGAGCCUCCCAGCCCCGAGAGCUCUGGGAUGGCAAAACGCUCUAUGAAGGGAUUUAAUAAA